CACCUUUGAUAGUGACAGCGACCCAGAUGACCCUGAGCCUUUCCAUGGUUUUGAUGGCUCGCCCUAUUCAUCAGAUCUAGAUGUUCCCUCAUCAGAGCCCAAAUCAGUUGAUACGAGUAGUAUCACCUCUCCAACUCCUUCAGACUCCCAAGCACCUGCCCAUCCCACUCCAUAGCCCAGCCACCCACUCUCAUCUACCAUAUGCCCAUCCCAGUAAGCAAGCCAACCACUAGAAUUUG